UUUAUUUUUUCCCCAAAACUUGGGCACAGACAUCCAUAUUUAGACCUUUGAAUAAAGGUAGCUUGAUUUCUAGAACAGCUGAGUAUCCACAGUUGCUCCUGUAGCUAAUGGGAGCUCUGGGUGAUCAGAACAACUGAAAAUCAAGCAGCCUCUAUAUAGGUGCCUAACUAUGCAUUCAGGGGGCUAUUUUCAGGCAUUUCACUCUUAAAAAUUUUAGUUUUUAGGAAGCUCCCAUUCCUGUCUCCUGUCAUUUUUAAACACAUUCAUGCAAAUCUUUGCAUUUUAAUGUAGGAGGGGUUGAUUGUCAGUUUACCGACUUCUCCGCUAUGCUAUCUGAACUUCAGCUUUUCCAUUCUAAGAGCAUUUCUGUAAUUUAUAAGAAUUGUGUCCUAUACAGAGUUUCAGCUUUAAUGAAAAAGUACUUUUCUCAGAGGACAUUAAGAAUAAUGCCUAAAUCAUCAACACCUUUUGAAUAUCACACUGGAGCUGGUAGAUUCAUUACUUCAGAGCUGCAUUCUACUCACUAACCGGAGUUGUACUAAAAACUUAAUUAUCUUAUCAUCAUGACUAGUCUCACUGACUUAAGUAGGUCUCAUCAGGGAAGUAAGAGGAGGAGGAUUUUGCUAUAAAUCAAGCUACAAGGUGCAUUUAUUACAAAAAGAUCUUGACUUCAUAAAGAUAAUAACUCAGUUAUUUAUCUGGCUAAGCCACCUGAGUCGCUAGUGCUCUGUAAAACACAGUACGGAGAGGUUUGGCCUUCUGAAGAGUCUAAGACAGCCUGAGGAAUAAGCAUAUGGCUGAGCAUUACUGGGUGACUGGCUGUCUUUGUCUUGUCCCAUUCAAGAGAGAGCUAGCAAGAGUGCAAGUCCAUCUUGGAAGCAAAGGCAAGGCUGGAGCCUGGCACUCCAACUACAUCACUCAUGGCAGUGCUGAGGGCCCCAGGCUGAGCUGAAGCUUGGCUCUUGGGCUGGUAGCUGCAUGGCGAGGGGAGGCUGAGCAGGGCUGUGAGAGUCUUGGGGCUCAUGCUAAUGCUGACCCCAUGAGACAGCUAGAGCUGGAAGGUUCCAUGGGGAACUGGAAAUGUUCUCAGUGUGGUCUUCUGAGUUUAUACUUGCACUGGUGCCCUUAACCUUGACCAGCACUUCCACUUCACUCUUCCAUUUCUUCCCAUCAUGGCUAGCUGUUGGCUGCUAUUUAUUUCCCAUUGUCACAGAAGAAUUGAGACUUUAUCUAGGUUGUUGCAGCUGGUCAUAACAGCUGCACAAAGUGUGUGUAAGGAGAUGGGGACCUGAAAUCAGUAACCAGGGAGGGGGCAGCACACCACUGCUGAAUAGACUGAGGAAAGUUCGGAUUUAGCACUCUGCUUCAGGCCUUUAGAAAAGAAACAGGCAAUUAUGCCUGUUUAUCUGUAUAAAUACAUCUAUAUUUAGAUACAUAUAUUUCAGAGUAUAACAUAUGUUUUGUGCAAGUCAGUCUAGUAUACUAAUCAUUAUUUUUGUAACACUUAUUCAUUUAGGAUUUAAAAUAGCUUCAUUUUGUUGACUACCUCACUUUGCAAAUAAGUGAAUAAAUUUAAGAAGAAAGUCAAGUAGAAACUGCACAUCUAGAAUAUUCUGCAUCAACUUAUUUACAAGAAGAGGGAAUUGGGAGAAGGGACGCUUAAGCUAGUGAGGAAGCAACCGAGACAGAAGUAGAAGACAUCCAAGCAGCUAUCCCUGCCAGGCUGAAGGCAGAGUGGUUUCCCAACUUUCAAAACUUACAUUGGGCUCAUCCAGAAAUUGCCGGGGAAGAUGACAGACCAGAAUCUUCCCAAUGAGAAGUGCUUACAAGCAGGAGCAGCUUGUCCUUACAGAGGCUUAACCUGGAACAUCUCCAUCUAGCCAGCCAGGGCUUAGCAGGUAUGUUAGCAAUGCAUGAGAGUCCUCUGCCUGUGAAAUGCCUUGUAUCGGACUACAGUCAGAUCAGGCUGCCUUAGUGUGCGGCAGAAAGUGUUCAGAGAGGUUCUCCAGGUAUUUAAGGCCACUCACUGCACACAUAUCAGCUCCGCCCGGUCUCAGUGCACCUGUAUCUCUGAGAUACUGAGAGAAAUGUUCCCAUGGCAGUGACUGCCCCGAGCAGGCUGUGGGCAAGGUGCAGGACCGAGGCUUCCAGGAGCCUUCACCUGUGCUACUUCUGCUGAUCUUGUGCCAUUCAUCACCCACCUCUGCACCUCACUGAAAACUCAGGACCAUCUGCUCAGAGGAAACUAAUAAAUGUAUAAACAGAAAUCACAGCAACUGCAGGAAGGUAACCCUCUGCUCUUAAAUGAACAUGUAUUUUCUGAGUUGCCUCCAUCAGGGCAGAUUUCUUUGUUAAGCAUUAAUUCUGUUUCAUUUUCCUGAACGUCUCUGCCAUUUUCUCCAUUAGAGGGCUGUAGAGCAGUGUGUUACAGUAUUUUAAAACACAAAUGGAUUUAAACCUAUGUAAAUAUACUUGGGGCCUAAUUUUCUUCUGUAUUGCUCUCCUGAAACUCGAUGAGGCGUAAAACCGGUGCAAUACAGAACAAAAAUGUACGGCACCUUAGAAUACAUCAGAGCUCUGGGUUUUGCUGACAAUGUUCAGAAACUCAGAAGUGGUAAGACUUUUAGACAUGUAUGACAGGUGAGGCAGAAGAGUGAGUCAGUUGCUGCUCGCAUGUUUGAACACACUACAACUGGUCAAUAGGAUAUGUUUUGAGGAAAAGGUAGCAAAGAGCAAGUAUUAUAGGCAGAGGCUAGACUAAGAAUCAUAAAUGUUAUAGGCUCCAUUCUGCUCCAGCUGUGAUGCUGACAAGCUAAUUGUACAGACUGCAAUUUUCUAGGCAAAUAUCUUCCUUGGCUGAACUUUAUUCUAAAAAAAAAAAAAAAAAAAGAACCAGAAAAUAAGGCUGAAUAAAAGCAUGGAGUGGGUUGGGGCUUUUCAGCCCACACCUAGAAAUUUCAGUGCUUUCACUGUGUUAAGUUCCAACACUCCAGAGCAUGAGCCAUGGCAAAGGGGAAACUGGCCUCUGUCCUCACCACUUGCCUUCUGCUGCGUUCGUACAAUGUAAGGUGCUAACAGGAGCAGUGCUGGAUGGAUGCAGUGAAACUCAAAUGGCAGCUGAAAGCAGAACGAGAGGGAGAGAAAGACGCUGGCACAGUAAGUCCAGUGCAGAUCAGAGCUAAUGGGAACUAAAGGCAACAGUGAGUGCAAGUGUAAGCAGGGAAAGCAGAAGGAAAGGCUUGGGGGGAGGGUGCCUAGAAGAUGAGAAAUAUGAACUGGCAGCUGAACAACAGCAAGGUGAUCCAGACAAGAAGAGCUAGAGUGAACCCAUCAAAGACACAAUGCCUCAUCAGGAAAGAAGCAAUACUGAGACCGAAAGGAAAUUGUUCACUGACCUGAUCUCUUGCCUGUGAAUUUAACUUCUGGAUUGGCUGGCAGAGCAACAUCACUGAAAAUGGCAUUUAUAGAGGCUGAGAUGCAGCGGCAUGCGCAACUUUCAAACCAGUAUUUGGUAACUUUGAAAAGCUUUGGCUUUGAAACUAAUAUUUCUUCCUUGUUGUUUGUUGUGCAUUAUGUAAAUUUAUUUCAUCUAAGCAAUUAACUCAUUGAGGCAGGGAUUGCUUUUUUGCCCUGUGUUUGCACACCACUUGCUGUAAAGUGUUGUGGUUCGUGACUGCUGCCAUUACAUGCCACGUUAAUACAGAUAGGAAGUAGUAUGCUGGUGGAGGUUAUACUAAAAGCUAAAUGAGAAUUCUAACAGUGGAGGAAAAUGGUUUGAUACAAAACACUGGGAAAUUAUCAGGCGCACCAGGCAAAAAUAACAAGUGGAAAAUUGGAGGCGAGUACCAAAGAAUGGUUCUGUAAGUAGUUCGGUGAGGCUGUUGGGCAGCCCACCAUGGAAGCAGCAGAAGUCCCUCAGCUGGGACCUGGCUGAAGAUACGACAACUCUGUUCAGAAGGCACAAGCCUGCACAGGGACACAGACACUGCAUGGUCUAAUGGGUCCACUCUGUCUCCAGCUUCUGUGACUCUGCUCAGCUUUCCCCAAAAGCCAGCACGAAGGAGUUGGCUUUUUGACACAAAAGAUGCAAUACAUAUUUACAGACAUUUCUUGAGCUGAGAACUAUGAAAAGAAAUCAAGUAGUUCUCAUCCAUGAGCUGAAAUUGAGGGUACGCACUAACCCAAAAGGACACCAGCUCAAAGAGCGCUGUAUGAAAAUCUUAUAAAGCUCUGCAACACUCCAUAAAUAAUUUUCAGACAGGAAGCUUUUUGUUUCAGUGAUAACAAUACUAAAAAGGAAGAAUGGCAAAUAUCCAUGAAAAAAGGCUGAAACAGUCUGCACCCUAUACUGAUGAUAGUUUUAAUCACUACCAGUGGUUCACGCGCAAUUAUCAGUCAUUUAUUAAGAAACGCAAGUGAUCAUUACAGAGGUUUAGAUUAAUUCAGGCUGAAGCUUGGUGUCAUGCCAGCGGUGCACCACGUGAUGGGCAGACCAUGGAAUAAACAUUCUAGCAUGUCACUGUGCUAUAAAUCCUACAAAUGAAAGAAAUUAAAAAGCCAGGAGCAAUUUUGAAAAUGAUUUAUGAUCGGAGGUGCACUUAGAAGUGCUUUUAUUGUCACGGGAACAUCUCCUUUCACAUCUUUAAGGUGAAAGCACCACUCUGCUUCGCCCUGAGUUUCUCGGGACAGCCUGUGACUGCGUGAGGUGUGGAGGCGAGCACUGCGGCUCGCGCUGAGUGCUGGUGAGUAUAUGUGCACUUAGCAGUGCGCAACUGCUUGUGAGGGUUAGCUUUGCACAGCCCUAGGGUGACAGAACAGCAAAUUGCUUCUGACACUUUAAGUAUGUGAAAAGACACCAGUUGUGGGGUUUUUUUUCCCUUCUUUUACAGCUAUACUAUAACUACGCUCUUAAGCGCACGUAUAAACAUUUUAUAACACAGAUUUGGACUAACAGUUGAAAAAUAACCUGAAGACUAGUUCUGCAGCAGAAAGUAUUCCUACCAAAAUAGCAGUCUGUUGCAAGUCAAACUUUCGCUCCAUACAUAAACGAUGCAGAACUUAGUGUACUUCUGAUGUAGAUGUUACUAGAAGUUUUACCAAAAUAUCAUGCUGGUGUUAAUACGGAUAUGUUAUCUUAAACAAAAAGUGAAUUCACCUAGAUUGAAAGGCAAAAUAUUUUAGUUUGCAAGCAUCGUACUCAGCUGCCCAUGUAAAGAAUAGCAGCAGUGAAAGUGAGUGAAUCAUAAAAACAUAGAAUAUCCCAAAUUGGAAGGGAUCCCAUAAGGAUUGUCUAGUCCAAGUCCUGGUUCCCUACAGGACCACCCAAAAAUCAGGCCAUGUCACUGAGAGUGUUGCACAGACGCUUACUGAACUUCACAAGCUCAGUGCCAUGACCACUUCCCUGGGAAGCCAGUGUCAGUGCUCAGCCAUGCUCGCAGUGAAGAACCUUGCCCUGAUAUCCAGCCUGAAAGUGAAAGCUUGGAAAUCCAAGACACAAGCAAGAUAGUUGAUCCUCCCUCAGGCCAGUGAUACUGGGACCACAGACACAAACCUAUGUGAUGCAUUGCUGCCUUCCUGGUUCCUCCUUUGGGCCUGCCUUCAGCCAUUUGGACUUGUGCUUUUCACUCUCCUGGGAUGGCCUGAGGACUUCCCACAGCAGCGUGCCAUUCGUACACACCCAGCAGGGUUGACUGGUUAGAUAUCUGCAGUUCUCUCUCCAGCAACGGAUAACCUUCAGAUCAAGAAGCCUACGUCAUCAUUACUGCUUGUGUCCACAACUGUAAUGAAGAUUUUAAAAAUAUAGUUGACGUGGGUGAUUAUUUAAGGUAAAGGUUUAUACCUCUCUUAGUAUUGCCUAUCAUUAGGUGACUGUGAAUACCCAUAACAAUCUAAAACAUCUCAUCCAGAGCAAUGUUUCCAUAUCUGACUUCUCCGAAAGGGUUAAUUUUCCAUCUCUCUACUGAUCCUUCUCCAUCCUGGGGCUGUGUAGGAAAACAACUUUAAGAACUUGGUUGGAGAUCAGCUCUUCAAAGCUAGCAGCUCAGGGGUUGUCUUGUGAUAGCCUGCAUGUCUCUGCUUUUCCUCUGCUGGUCUUUAAACUCCUGCGAGGUUCUUUCACCCUUCUGCAAGGAUUCACACAGCCUCCUCUUGGCAAAGUGGCUGGGAUAACAACAACCAAUGGAGAGGAUUGUGAGUGUAAAUGCUGUGUGUGUGGGGGGUACCUCAAACUAUUUGCCUAAAUCCUAUAAGCCUGAAGAGGAAGAAGAUGACCGCUAACUGGAUUAAGGAGUAUCCAGGGUCCUACCAGGAAACUUGUGAAGAAAAGAAGGUGCCAACCUGCAGAAGUGCACGAAAAUGAGUAACAUGAGAAGAGAGAUGCCCCACUUCAUGCUCACCUCCCUCAGGGUUGGUGCUGCCUCCUCCUCACUGGAUGUCACAAGUGGGCAGAUGGUGUGGUUUACAGUGCAUGGGGACACAGGGGAGGGUGACCGCCUGGGGUGCCUCCUCAUCCUCAGGGGGCACAUAACUGUGUGGAUGUGAGAGGAAGGGAGGUGGUGUCAAAACUCUGAAGGAAGAGCUGUUGACUCGCUGUGAGGGAGCGGAGGGGCAGUGCUGAGCUCUGCUCUCUGUAACAGUGACAUGGCCCAAGGGAACAGCAUGACACAGCUCUGUUAGGGGAGGGGCAGCUGGGCGUUAGGGAAAGGGUCUGCACCAGAGGGUGGUGGGCAUGGAACAGGCUGCACAGGGCAGUGGGCAUAGCUACAAGCUGAUGGAGUUCUAGGGGAAUUUGGACAGCACUUUCAGGCAUAGGGUUUGGAUUUUGGAUGGUCCUUUGCAGGGCCAGGAGUUGAGCUUGAUGAUCCUUGUGGGUUCCUGCCAGCUUGAGAUAUUCUAUGAUUCUGUGGUUCUAUGAUUACUUAUGGAAGGCUUUUCUUGAAUUUAUGUUUACUUUUGUAAGCACCUCAUAUUUUGGUUUCUUUGUUAUGAUGCUUGAUAAAGACCUUGGAUGUAUAGUUCACUGAUUGCCAGUUAAUUACAUGUCAUUAAUAAGUCAAUAAACUCCUUUAAUCCUGAUUUACCUUAAA